ACCAAGGUGGUGCAAUGGUAGCACGUCUGCGGGACGUUAAUCCUCGUACGGGAAGCCCUUCGGGGGUCGCAGGUAUAUAGGUUCAAAUCCUGGCCUUGGCG
rnacentral:tRNA from 1 species